UAAGGUGAGUGUAAGUUAAUAUAUUUGCCUAACUGUAAAUUUCUUAAAUUUGAAUGCUGGAUUGAAUGAGUUAAUAAUCACGUGUUAUAUUAUUUGUAUUCGUAUACAAAAGUAAUCAUUUAACGCUAAUUCACAAUAAUGCAGCAAAAUAGACAGGACGUUACUGCUGCAGAACUGCAGUCGGCUAACGCGUAGCGGAUAUGAAUCCAUCGCAAUCUGAUCAUAAUUAUUCCAGUUUUACCCAUUUUAUCUUCAUAAUAUUAAUGUGUUAAGAUUCGUUAUUUCGCAAGUAUUUCGAGUUUUUGCACAAUGUAUUUUUGCACUUCGAAAAGAAGGUAAAUCGGUACCGCGUGUUAGCACGGACAGUAGAUCGCUACCUAAAUGUCUCGCUUGCUAGUGAAAGAGCUUCCUCAGUGAUGAUAACUUUCACAGACCUGUACUGAACUACUGUGAUUGCAAUUAUAUUUUCUGACGAGGAACUACAACUACAAGUUUGCAAGCCUGUUGGCUAACUAGCUAAGGCGCAACUUCACACCGGUAGUCACAUGGGCCUUCGACGUGCGAGGUUGUUCCACGUGUUUGGAAGCGGGUUCAUGUGGGUUUUGUUCUCCUCCGUAGGUCUAGUCCGGAAAUGGACGUCCAGGAAGAAAGAACUAUGCAACGUGCCAUUCCUGUGAAAGAUGGCAUGCAUUUUCAUAAUGAUCUCCGCUGAUGAGACCACUGUUUGCGUAAUCAAUGGUACCAUGCCAGGUGUGAUGACUCCAAGAUGGACUCUUUGGGAUUACUUGUCCUGAGACUAAUGGUGGCCUGCCCUGCUGCUGUGACCUAAAGUCUCUGCUUGGUUGUAAGAUGGUGGAAACCCCAGGCUGACUCUGGAAAUGGAUGGAGGAUUUCCUUCCAUGCGGACCUGUGACUCAACUGUCGGCUAGUACUAUUGCUAGUAUGACCUUAAGGAGCUGCAGACUGGAACCUGUCCUAAGUGUUACCCUAAGGAUCUGUAAACUGGAACCUGCCUUAAGGGCCUUCCAAGAUGACUGGAAUUGCAUGGGUGCAAUGGAUCAAUUCAACCUCUUGUAAACUGGACAACCAGUGCUAGUUGAUGCUUAAAUAAAGGUGUGCAAAACCUG